ACACAUGCAAGUCGAGGGGCAGCAUGGUCUUAGCUUGCUAAGGCCGAUGGCGACCGGCGCACGGGUGAGUAACACGUAUCCAACCUGCCGUCUACUCUUGGACAGCCUUCUGAAAGGAAGAUUAAUACAAGAUGGCAUCAUGAGUCCGCAUGUUCACAUGAUUAAAGGUAUUCCGGUAGACGAUGGGGAUGCGUUCCAUUAGAUAGUAGGCGGGGUAACGGCCCACCUAGUCUUCGAUGGAUAGGGGUUCUGAGAGGAAGGUCCCCCACAUUGGAACUGAGACACGGUCCAAACUCCUACGGGAGGCAGCAGUGAGGAAUAUUGGUCAAUGGGCGAGAGCCUGAACCAGCCAAGUAGCGUGAAGGAUGACUGCCCUAUGGGUUGUAAACUUCUUUUAUAAAGGAAUAAAGUUGGGUAUGGAUACCCGUUUGCAUGUACUUUAUGAAUAAGGAUCGGCUAACUCCGUGCCAGCAGCCGCGGUAAUACGGAGGAUCCGAGCGUUAUCCGGAUUUAUUGGGUUUAAAGGGAGCGUAGAUGGAUGUUUAAGUCAGUUGUGAAAGUUUGCGGCUCAACCGUAAAAUUGCAGUUGAUACUGGAUAUCUUGAGUGCAGUUGAGGCAGGCGGAAUUCGUGGUGUAGCGGUGAAAUGCUUAGAUAUCACGAAGAACUCCGAUUGCGAAGGCAGCCUGCUAAGCUGCAACUGACAUUGAGGCUCGAAAGUGUGGGUAUCAAACAGGAUUAGAUACCCUGGUAGUCCACACGGUAAACGAUGAAUACUCGCUGUUUGCGAUGUACUGCAAGCGGC
rnacentral:rRNA from 1 species